GGAGGAUUUUACUCUUGGGAAAUGGAAAGGCCUAUGGAGGAACAAUCUUCUGACCACCCUCAGAGAAGCCCAAUGGUUGACCUGGAGGCAAACCUGACAGAAGACAUCUUGACUUCCUUACAUUUGUCAAGUUCUAUUUGGAAACACUGACAGAGAAUUUGUGUGUGGAUGAAAUACAUAGCUGGUGAUCACAAGCUUCUAAGGAUCUGAUGACAUCAAA
rnacentral:lncRNA from 1 species